GGCGAGGCGAAAGGACUGAUAAUUAGCGAUCGAGUAGAAAGAAACGUUCUAAGAUCGAGUUAAGGCAAUGUUGCUGCUUUACGUAAAGCCCUUCCAUAAUCAGUGUAUCCGUCCAAUCAUCACCACAGCUCAUCAUUACAUGGAAGAUAAAGGGGUUUUCGUGCCUUUGUAAGACUCAAAAGGCUGCUACGAGGUUACCCACAAUCUCUUUGCCUUUUUCUCUUCGUCUUCACCCUUCUUCUGCAAUUCCGAAGCCAUCAAACUGCUACAAUCACGAGUCGAAAAAAUCCUAUGGCGCUAAGUAGGUACUUCUAUACCAGCACUUGGACGAAGAGAAUGGACAAUGCCUUCGUGAACAUUCUCUACUAUCACGCCUUGCUCGGUCGAAAUCAAUCCAUCCCACUUGAGCCAACGAGGAGGCGUAAAAGUUUGCUGCCGAUAACGUCCAUCGUUAUGCCGACAGGGCCUGGCCGUAUUAUUUUUUCAAAAAGUAGGCUUAGUUUGCUUCGGUUAAGGCACAACACCUUUCAAAAGGUCUUGGCAGAACUGGCGUUUACUUGGAAUGAGGACACGAACCGAAUCCUCGAUCGUUGUGAGGACUGGAAGAGUGUAAUCCAGUAAACCCCUGCUAAAGCGUAUUGUUACUAUGGCGAGCCGAAGUGGGAGCCGAUGCAGGAGAUAUUCGGUCAUGCCUGUCGAUUUCGCCUUCGGUGGGAAAAACAUGGAGGUUGACGAAGACAACGACCAUGGAUCGGGCGUUACAUUUUUGGGGUGAAAGAAGACGAAGAGCCAGAGGUAGUGGAUCUGGUCUCAAGUGAAAGCGAAAACUAAAGGUUGUUGGGAAGAAACUAUAUCCAAGUUCAUGAACGCGGGCUAGUGGUUAGUUCCUCAUGGCCUCCGUCCAUGUUGUGUAUUUAAUUACCUUUGAUGUUUUUACUUAUGUAUUACCAGUUACCAGGGUUGUAAUGUGUUUUGGAUAUAAUCAGUGUCGAAACAAUGGCACUGGCAAUCUUCCAUAAAGUGUAAUUAAAUCAGAUGCAGUAUUUUCUGUUCUUUGAUCUUUGGUUGUGGUUUUUAUUAGGAAGUUGAAUUGGUAGGAGUAAGAGAUGCAGG